rnacentral:rRNA from 1 species
CAGCCUGGGGUCUAUACUGGGCGUAAGCGCACGCAGGCGGUUGGAUAAGUUAGAUGUGAAAGCCCCGGGCUCAACCUGGGAAUUGCAUUUAAAACUGUCCAGCUUGAGUCUUGUAGAGGGGGGUAGAUUCCAGGUGUAGCGGUGAAAUGCGUAGAGAUCUGGAGGAAUACCGGUGGCGAAGGCGGCCCCCUGGACAAAGACUGACGCUCAGGUGCGAAAGCGUGGGGAGCAAACAGGAUUAGAUACCCUGGUAGCCACGCCGUAAACGAUGUCUAUUUGGAGGCUGUGUCCUUGAGACGUGUCUUCCGGAGCUAACGCGUUAAAUCGACCGCCUGGGGAGUACGGCCGCAAGGUUAGAACUCAAAUGAAUUGACGGGGGCCGCACAAGCGGUGGAACAUGUGGUUUAAUUCGAUGCAACGCGAAGAACCUUACCUGGCCUUGACAUGUCUGGAAUCCUGCAGAGAUACGGGAGUGCCUUCGGGAAUCAUAACACAGGUGCUGCAUGGCGUCGUCAGCUCGUGUCGUGAGAUGUUGGGUUAAGUCCCGCAACGAGCGCAACCCCCUGUCCUUUGUUGCCACCACGUAUUGGUGGGAACUCAAGGGAGACUGCCGGUGAUAAAUCGGAGGAAGGUGGGAUGACGUCAAGUCAUCAUGGCCCUUACAGCCAGGGCUACACACGUGCUACAAUGGCGCGUACAGAGACUGCAAGCUACGCGAUGGUGAGCGAAUCCCAAAAGCUCGUCGUAUCCGGAUUGUAGUCUCAACUCGACUCCAUGAUGUCGGAAUCGCUAAGUAAAUCCGCAGAUCAAACUGUCCGGUGAAUACUUCUCCCCCGGGUCUCAAA